UCCCCCAGAGGCAAUGGAGAGGUAACCCACCGGAGAAAGAAGGCUUCUGGAAUAUGCUGCAUGGCUGCCAAAGAUCAACAUGUGCAACCAUAAAACGCAGCCCCGGGAAGCGGAAUGCGAUAAUCUCGGACUUGAAAUUGUGAGCCAUGGGAGGUGAGAGAUGGAAGAGGGAGAGCUCUUUCCGGGGUGAAAAGAAGCACCACUCAUCAGUUCCAAGGCCAGCAGGGACCCUGUGAUCCUCCAGUCUAAUCUCCUGCGUAACGCAAGCCAGAGAACUUCCUCAGAAUAAUUCCUAUUUGAAUCAGUGCAGAUCUUUCCAAAAACUGUCCAAUCUUGAUUUAAAAACGGCUAGUGAUGGAGAAUCUGUAGCAGCCCUUGGGCCUUUGCCACGAUCACCUCUCUACUGCGGUCAUCGUCUCACUGUCUGGCACUGAUCUCUCCUCUCCUUCACCACCCCCUCCGGCCUGCCACCACUCCCACCGUCGUCAGCUUUGCAGCCCUGUACUGACACAUCACGAAGCAACCUCUUGGUUCGCCUUAACCGAAGGCGUGAUUUCCAGGCAGGCAGAGAGAGCUAGCCAGCCUGGAUGCUGCUC